GACGAACGCUGGCGGCGCGCUUAACACAUGCAAGUCGAGCGAGAACCAGGGCUUCGGCCCUGGGGACAGCGGCGAACGGGUGAGUAACACGUGGGUAAUCCACCCUCGGCACCGGAAUAGCCCGGGGAAACCCGGAUUAAUGCCGGAUGGCCCGCCGGCCCUGCGGGGCUGGCGGAAAAGGUAGCUUCGGCCUCCGGCCGAGGACGAGCCCGCGACGGAUUAGCUUGUUGGUGGGGUAGCGGCCUACCAAGGCUGCGAUCCGUAGCUGGUCUGAGAGGACGAUCAGCCAAACUGGGACUGAGGCACGGCCCAGACUCCUACGGGAGGCAGCAGUGGGGAAUCUUGCGCAAUGGGCGAAAGCCUGACGCAGCGACGCCGCGUGAGGGAAGAAGGCCUUCGGGUUGUAAACCUCUUUCAGGAGGGACGAAGCCACUCGGGUUAAUAGCCCAGAGGGUGACGGUACCUCCAGAAGAAGCCCCGGCUAACUACGUGCCAGCCGCCGCCGUAAUAC
rnacentral:rRNA from 1 species